GACGAACGCUGGCGGCGUGCUUAACACAUGCAAGUCGAACGGUAAGGCUCCAGCUUGCUGGGGUACACGAGUGGCGAACGGGUGAGUAACACGCGGGUGACCUGCCCUGCACUUCGGGAUAAGCCUGGGAAACUGGGUCUAAUACCGGAUAGGACCAUGGUGUGGAUACUGUGGUGGAAAGUUUUUUCGGUGUGGGAUGGGCCCGCGGCCUAUCAGCUUGUUGGUGGGGUAAUGGCCUACCAAGGCGGCGACGGGUAGCCGGCCUGAGAGGGUGGACGGCCACAUUGGGACUGAGACACGGCCCAGACUCCUACGGGAGGCAGCAGUGGGGAAUAUUGCACAAUGGGCGGAAGCCUGAUGCAGCGACGCCGCGUGGGGGAUGACGGCCUUCGGGUUGUAAACUCCUUUCACCAUCGACGAAGGGUUUCUGACGGUAGAUGGAGAAGAAGCACCGGCUAACUACGUG
rnacentral:rRNA from 1 species